GACGAACGCUGGCGGCGCGCUUAACACAUGCAAGUCGAACGGAAAGGCCUGCUUUCCCUUGUGGUUUGCGGGUACUCGAGUGGCGAACGGGUGAGUAACUCGCCAGUGAUCUGCCCCCAACUUGGGUAUAAGCCUGGGAAACUGGGUCUAAUUCUCGAUAGGACUGCAGGGUGGUGCCUGUGGUGGCAAACGUUUUUCUAGUGGUUGGGGAUGAGCUCGCGGCCUAUCAGCUUGUUGGUGGGGUAAUGGCCUACCACGGCGGCGACGGGUAGCCAGACUGAGAGGGUGCACGGUCACAUUGAGACUGAGACACGGCCCAGACGCCAGCGAGAGGCAGCAGUGCGGCAUAAUGGACAGAAAGCGGAAGGGUGAAACGGCGACGCAGCGAGGAAGGUGACGGCCUUGGGGUUGUAAGCUCCUAGCGACCGCGAGGAAGGCACGUGGUUGGAAGGGUGGUGACGGUAGUGAUAGAAAAAGCCCCGGCUAACUACGUG
rnacentral:rRNA from 1 species